rnacentral:lncRNA from 1 species
AUGGAAGCAUCAGCUUUGGCACCCAGGCUUGGUGCUUACCAGGAGCAAAAACUUAAAGAACAAAUUUGCUUUCCCAAGUUUCUGCAUUCUGUGCGCAAGAACAACCUUAAUUUUAGACUGAGCCUUGCUGUUGCUGGCCGUACUAGGCAAAAGAAAUGUGUCAUGUUAAGAUUGGGCAUUGAGUGGACAAAGUCAAUGCUUUGCCUCUGCUAUCCACUAAGAAAAGGAAGAUCUCUCACCACACACAGAACUGACUGAGGUGCUUUCCUCUGCAGGAAGGAGGAACUGAGGACUAAGCUAUGACUGUGAGGCUGACCGUUCUCUGGCCAGCUCCUGGGGGAGCACUCCUACAUGUUGUCUGUCUGUUAAAAUUCUGAGCAAUUCUCUAACCUGUUCUUAAAAGGCAUGUGAAAAGCUGUUAUGAGCAGUCACAGAACAGAAACAAAAUGAAAAAGUUUCAGAAACUGACCAUCUCAAAAUAGGGUAGUGAUAGUCAGAAAGCAAUAUAGCUGCCUAGCAAGUUAGUCUAUGCCCAGAACUAUUUAAUUUGAAUUGCAACUCAAAUCUUGCCACUGAUCUUAGUGAGAAGAAGUUUAAGUUAUUGGCUGUCUUGUAACCACUAGCCCACUAAACUUCAGAUAAACUUAAAAUACUUCCACCAGAUAAGUAUAACUGGCGUUUGAAGGCCACAUAGAAAGUCAUUACUGAAAGGUGCUAACUUUUCUGAUAAUAAAUUAGUUUUCUGACUCCUUGAACA